rnacentral:rRNA from 1 species
GACGAACGCUGGCGGCGUGCCUAAUACAUGCAAGUCGAGCGAAUCAAUAGGAGCUUGCUCCUGUUGGUUAGCGGCGGACGGGUGAGUAACACGUGGGCAACCUGCCUGUAAGACUGGGAUAGCACCGGGAAACCGGUGCUAAUACCGGAUAAUCCUUUUCCUCUCAUGAGGAAAAGCUGAAAGUCGGUUUCGGCUGACACUUACAGAUGGGCCCGCGGCGCAUUAGCUAGUUGGUGAGGUAACGGCUCACCAAGGCGACGAUGCGUAGCCGACCUGAGAGGGUGAUCGGCCACACUGGGACUGAGACACGGCCCAGACUCCUACGGGAGGCAGCAGUAGGGAAUCUUCCACAAUGGACGAAAGUCUGAUGGAGCAACGCCGCGUGAGCGAUGAAGGCCUUCGGGUCGUAAAGCUCUGUUGUUAGGGAAGAACAAGUACCGGAGUAACUGCCGGUACCUUGACGGUACCUAACCAGAAAGCCACGGCUAACUACGUGCCAGCAGCCGCCGCAGUAA